rnacentral:rRNA from 1 species
UACAGAGGUCUCAAGCGUUGUUCGGAUUCAUUGGGCGUAAAGGGUGCGUAGGCGGCGUGGUAAGUCGGGUGUGAAAUCUCGGAGCUUAACUCCGAAACUGCAUUCGAUACUGCCGUGCUUGAGGACUGGAGAGGAGACUGGAAUUUACGGUGUAAGCGGUGAAAUGCGCAGAUAAUCGGGAAGAACACCCGUGGCGAAGGCGGCUCUCUGGGACGGUACUGACGGCUGAGAC